GACAAGAGCUUCUAAAACAAGCAGUAUCCAAUUAGAAUAUCUUAUUGGAUACAUGCAAAGUCACAAUGCAUUUGCUACUGGAAAAUUAUUAGGAGCAAGGGGAAAGGCAGCCCACGAUACACAAUGGCAAGAAUUGGCUGAGGAGCUGAAUCGCUUAGAAGGGCCAUCAAAAAGUUAGAAGCUUGGAAAAAACUUUGGUGUGAUCAAAGGAAUCAAGCCAGAGGCCGGGCAGCAAAGGUCAAAGCAGAUCAAAAACUUACUGGCAACACUGGCAAUGCAAUCCAACUAAAGGAUUUGGAUUUACGCAUUUUGUCUGUUAUUGGUGGCGAAUCGUCUGUAGGUCUGCCUGUAAUGGAGAUGGGCUUUGGAGAACGACCUGAGAUUUGUUAUUUUUUCACUAAAAGUUAUAUACAAAAUAUAUAUAACAUAAUGUGUCUAUAGUGGUUUUAAUUAAUUAUGCUGUGCUUACUUUAAGGAUAUCGCUGAUCCGUCUCUGACAUUGGGAUUGAUAUCAUCUACUGACUUAAAUGAAUUUAUUAUUAUUCAAGAAGAAUCAAAUGCAACAGAAACAACUGAGGAGAGUACAAGUGCAGUUAUCCAAGAUGUAGAAGAGACAAUUCUAACUCCUAAACCGCAAGAAAAUCUACAUCGUAAUGAAAAACCAUCUAAACCUCAUACUAUUGUAUCAGUUCCUGUAUUGCCUAUUAAUGAACCUCUUAACCAGCACGAUAAACCUAAUACAACUGUUCCCGUAUUGUCUCUUGAUGAACUUUUUAACCAGCACAAUAUACCUAACAAAACAGGACAAUUAUUGAUAACAUCUAAUAUACGUAAUUCAACCAGUCACAAUAGGAAACGUUUCAAAAGCUCUUCCGUGGAAGAAAGCGUGAACUCUUUUAAAAGAUCAGCAAGACAGACAUAUUAAAAGUUUACAGCCAUUGCAGAUAAUGGCUAAAAAUUUAAGCCGCAUUGCUUCUGCAACAGAAGAACAAACUGAUCUGCUUCGAAAAUCUUUAACACUACAUAAACAAACGCUAGAUAUCUUAUCUAAAACUAUUGAA